UACGGAGGGGACUAGCGUUGUUCGGAAUUACUGGGCGUAAAGCGCACGUAGGCGGAUUUGUAAGUCAGGGGUGAAAUCCCGGGCUCAACCUCGGAACUGCCUUUGAUACUGCAAAUCUCGAGUCCGGAAGAGGUGAGUGGAAUUCCUAGUGUAGAGGUGAAAUUCGUAGAUAUUAGGAAGAACACCAGUGGCGAAGGCGGACUCACUGGUCCGGUACUGACGCUGAGGUGCGAAAGCGUGGGGAGCAA
rnacentral:rRNA from 1 species